ensembl:snRNA U4 U4 spliceosomal RNA
AGCUUUGUGCAGUGGCAGUAUUGUAGCCAAUGAGGUUUAUCCAAGGUGCAAUUAUUGCUAAAUGAAAACUUUUCCCAAUACCCCACCAUGACGACUCGAAAUACAGUGGGCAUUGACAAUUUUUGACAGUCUCUAUGGAGA